AUACGGAGGGUGCAAGCGUUAAUCGGAAUUACUGGGCGUAAAGCGUACGUAGGCGGCAAGUUAAGUUAGAUGUGAAAGCCCCGGGCUCAACCUGGGAACUGCAUUUAAAACUGGCUUGCUAGAGUUGAGUAGAGGGGAGUGGAAUUUCAGGUGUAGCGGUGAAACGCGUAGAGAUCUGAAGGAACACCAGUGGCGAAGGCGACUCCCUGGACUCGAACUGACGCUGAGGUACGAAAGCGUGGGUAGCAAACGGGAUUAGAAACCCUAGUAGUCC
rnacentral:rRNA from 1 species